ACCUAAAUAGCUCAGUUGGGACAGCGUUAGACUAUAUAUCGAAAGGUCCCUGGUUCGAUCCCGGGAUUCGGCA
rnacentral:tRNA from 1 species